AACGAACGCUGGCGGCAGGCCUAACACAUGCAAGUCGAGCGCUUCCUUCGGGAAGAGCGGCGGACGGGUUAGUAACGCGUGGGAACGUGCCUCUCUCUACGGAAUAGCCAUUGGAAACGAUGAAUAAUACCGUAUACGCCCUUGGGGGAAAGAUUUAUCGGAGAGAGAUCGGCCCGCGUUAGAUUAGUUAGUUGGUGGGGUAACGGCUUACCAAGACGACGAUCUAUAGCUGGUUUGAGAGGAUGAUCAGCCACACUGGGACUGAGACACGGCCCAGACUCCUACGGGAGGCAGCAGUGGGGAAUCUUAGACAAUGGGGCAACCCUGAUCUAGCCAUGCCGCGUGAGUGACGAAGGCCCUAGGGUCGUAAAGCUCUUUCGCCAGGGAUGAUAAUGACAGUACCUGGUAAAGAAACCCCGGCUAACUCCGU
rnacentral:rRNA from 1 species